AUACGUAGGUGGCAAGCGUUGUCCGGAUUUAUUGGGCGUAAAACGAGCGCAGGCGGUUUCUUAAGUCUGAUGUGAAAGCCCCCGGCUCAACCGGGGAGGGUCAUUGGAAACUGGGAGACUUGAGUGCAGGAGAGGAGAGUGGAAUUCCAUGUGUAGCGGUGAAAUGCGUAGAUAUAUGGAGGAACACCAGUGGCGUAGGCGACUCUCUGGUCUGUAACUGACGCUGAGGCUCGAAAGCGUGGGGAGCAAACAGGAUUAGAUACCCUGGUAGUCCACGCUGUAAACGAUGAGUGCUAAGUGUUGGAGGGUUUCCGCCCUUCGGUGCUGCAGCUAACGCAUUAAGCACUCCGCCUGGGGAGUACGACCGCAAGGUUGAAACUCAAAUGAAUUGACGGGG
rnacentral:rRNA from 1 species